UAUCUUCAGCUCCAGAUCUGACCACAUCACCUCAAUCAGACACAAAGAUGCUCACAGAGAGACAAGAUGUUGCCAAGACUACAGCAGAUCUCAUGACCACAGACACCCUCCUGACUUAUCACAGCACCAACAGCAUCAGAGCAAAGGACGUAGGCAGCAUGCUGUCUGAGUCACAGGCGUGUGUUCUGUUCUUCGUAGUGGCUCUGGUCACUGCAGCCGGAUUCUUCAUUUAUGG